CAUGUCUUUUUGAUAAUAAUUUAAGGUCUAAUCUGCUCAAUGAUUGAUUAAAUAGCCGCAGUAUAUUAACUGUGCAAAGGUAGCAUAAUAAUUAGUUUCUUGAUUAGGAGCUGGAAUGAAGGAUUGGACGAGAAAAUUUCUGUCUCGGUUUAAUUUUUUUUUGAAUUUUAUUUUUAAGUUAAAAAGCUUAAAUUUUUAUAAAAGACGAGAAGACCCUUUAGAGUUUUAUACUUAUUUCUUAAGUUAUUUUAGAAAUUUAUUUUAUGAUCUAAGUAUUUAGUUGGGGUGACUUGGAGAUUUAUUUAAUUCUUUAAAAUAUUUUAUUGAUGAUUUUUAAAUAAUAUAAGUAAUUUUUUAAAUUUAGAAUUAAUUACCUAAGGGAUAACAGCGUAAUUUUUCUUUAAAGUUCUUAUUGAAAGGAAAUUUUGCGACCUCG
rnacentral:rRNA from 1 species